rnacentral:rRNA from 1 species
UACAGAGGUGGCAAGCGUUGUUCGGAAUUACUGGGCGUAAAGGGCGCGUAGGCGGUUCGUUAAGUCCUGUGUGAAAUCCCCCGGCUCAACUGGGGAACUGCACAGGAAACUAGCGGGCUUGAGUUCGGGAGAGGGAAGCGGAAUUCCGGGUGUAGCGGUGAAAUGCGUAGAUAUCCGGAGGAACACCGGUGGCGAAGGCGACCAUCUGGACGGAUACUGACGCUGAGACGCGAAAGCGUGGGUAGCAAACAGG